GAUGAACGCUGGCGGCGUGCCUAACACAUGCAAGUCGAGCGAUUCUCUUCGGAGAAGAGCGGCGGACGGGUGAGUAACGCGUGGGUAACCUGCCCUGUACACACGGAUAACAUACCGAAAGGUAUGCUAAUACGAGAUAAUAUGCUUUUAUCGCAUGGUAGAAGUAUCAAAGCUUUUGCGGUACAGGAUGGACCCGCGUCUGAUUAGCUAGUUGGUAAGGUAACGGCUUACCAAGGCGACGAUCAGUAGCCGACCUGAGAGGGUGAUCGGCCACAUUGGAACUGAGACACGGUCCAAACUCCUACGGGAGGCAGCAGUGGGGAAUAUUGCACAAUGGGCGAAAGCCUGAUGCAGCAACGCCGCGUGAGCGAUGAAGGCCUUCGGGUCGUAAAGCUCUGUCCUCAAGGAAGAUAAUGACGGUACCUCAUGAAUAAGGGGCUCCUAACUCUGUGCCAGCCGCCGCCGUAACAC
rnacentral:rRNA from 1 species